CCUACGGGAGGCAGCAGUGAGGAAUAUUGGUCAAUGGGCGGAAGCCUGAACCAGCCAAGUAGCGUGCAGGAUGACGGCCCUACGGGUUGUAAACUGCUUUUAUACGGGAAUAACGCGCCUUACGUGUAGGUCUUUGCAUGUACCGUAUGAAUAAGGACCGGCUAAUUCCGUGCCAGCAGCCGCGGUAAUACGGAGGAUCCGAGCGUUAUCCGGAUUUAUUGGGUUUAAAGGGAGCGUAGGUGGAUUGUUAAGUCAGUUGUGAAAGUUUGCGGCUCAACCGUAAAAUUGCAGUUGAAACUGGCAGUCUUGAGUACAGUAGAGGUGGGCGGAAUUCGUGGUGUAGCGGUGAAAUGCUUAGAUAUCACGAAGAACUCCGAUUGCGAAGGCAGUUCACUGGACUGCAACUGACACUGAGGCUCGAAAGUGUGGGUAUCAAACAGGAUUAGAUACCCCUGUAGUC
rnacentral:rRNA from 1 species